CAAAAAAUUGAAAGAGUGAUGUUUCACUCGUUACUCUGCCUGGGCAAAGUCUGAGUUGAAUGGUUCCCUUGAUGCUUGACACCAGAGCUUUCACUCAACCAUUUUAGGGACCCGUGGGCUUAGAACUAAGAAAUAAGAAAUGGGUAAAUUCAGGGUAGAUACCAGGAUUAAACCUGAACACCAAUCUUUCUUUGGCUGAGGUUUUAGUGUUUGG
rnacentral:lncRNA from 1 species